GCUAAUCAGCUAUCCUUUGCCCUUCGGAGAGAUUUGAGCAACAUGCCAUAGCAGUUCAGAGCUGGCUAGCACCCUCCGCUCGGCCUAUACCCACGCUUCUGCAUUCCCAUCCAGGCGCGCUCAGCUCAGCGGAGGUGAGGGUCACAGUGGUCCACGCACUCUCACAUCACUCCAUGACACUUCUGCAUGCUGUGUGCGGGAGGCGAUGAAGUGGGAACUUCCUGUUGUUCUUGUGAUGAAAAGCAGUCCUCUUUGAUGCCUUCCUCACGACCAGUUUUGCAUAAAGGAAGCAAAGAUCGCAUAUUAAUUACACCCAGUAAAAGCAGCAGCUAAAGACCCAGUGCCGUCCCCUGGUGUGAAGAAUCCAGCUCCUUCCGCGAGUCAGCUAUGUUCAGUCACGGGCUUCUUGCACUUCUCAUUAAUCUUGAGUAAAGGCAAGUCACAAACACUUUGACCAGGAUGGGAAACUCAUGAGCAUAAAGCAAGUGGCUCGUCUUUGUCCUUCGGUAAUGGUAAUAGCCAAGAGAAGCGCUUAUGUUCCAAUUGACACCUUUGAGCAACUGCCAUCAAUGAAUGAGUAGCACAUACAGGUGAAGGUGGGUCUCUUUCGGCACAUCCUAUGUGAAGCAGUCCUUUUGUGAGGGAAAAUCAAAAGCUACCAAAAAACUCAGUGGACUGAACAUCUGGGAGACUCUGACAUCGAGGCGUUUGAAAUGCCCGGAUCAAGACACAAGGGAGUCAUUUCAAAGGCAUCCCAAUCCUUUGAUCUUACUGUGGUGAGGACCAAAGUCUAAUUCGGCCAGUGGCCAAGGAGAUCACCGCGAUGGGCCAGUACAUUAUAGCAGCCAAGGCAAAAUACUCCCUCUAUGUUGACGGUACUUGUGAAGAAAGACUGUGUGUUCAUUUCAGGUGAAGCCAUAGAACCUUAAUAGUAGUCUGAUAUUCGAUUUUGAAUGCUCUCUAAGUAUAUAUUUACCAUGGAAACUAUAAUAAUAAACAAUAAUUUAGCUUCCAGCAUCCUUAUAAGUGACUGUUUGAAGGGAUAACUGCAUAGGCACGGCACAACUCUACUAAAACCAAAACACGUAAUUGCCUCUUGACCCCCUCACUAAUGAAGGCAUUCAUUUCACGGAAUGAACUCAGAAGACCACCCUGCCUGCUGGGCACUCAGGCAGCUGUGCCUGGAAGGUGCUGCCCUCUCUCCUCAGCACAGGGCAGGAAGCAGGCGGGAAUUCAUCUGCACAGGAUAGAAACGCUGGGCAGCUUUUCAGCUCUUGGAGAGUCAAGUCUUGACAGUGACUUCAUUAGUUUCAUUAGAGUACCAUCUAUUCCCAAAUGUCACAUGAUCUCUAUUCAAAUUGUAUUCUUGGCAGCCAUAAUCCUAGGAGAUAUUUGGUCAAGGUAAAAACAAAAGGUUGCCAUGGUGACAUAAGUUAGGGACAAGUUGUAUAUUCCUUUUCUUGGAGAAAUAAGACAAAGAAGAUCAAGUUAAACAUUUUGGAAAGUUUAGGGUAAGUAUGCUUAAAUCAUUUCAGUAUGCUUCAGGCAUCCUUUCUCCAAACUUAUUUGACCAGAAAUCACUUGGAGGCAUAAUUCUUAAUAUCCCAGUGUCCCUAGGAACAUCCUCUGUAAGGCAUUGCUCUACAUUUUUGUUUAAGUGCUCAUUCUAAGAUGUAAAUAAGACUGCGUUAAUAACUGUGCUAAAUGUUGUGGUGGUUAUCCAUUUCCCGUAGGGUCAAGUUCAAAACCACCGAGCAAGAGCACAGGACCUUCCUUGGUUAUCGUUCAAGCUCAUUUCCAAAUGUUCCCUGACGUAUACGUACCUCCGCUUUUUUGAAAUGUACUGUGAUCUCUCAGGCAUCCUAGGCUGUGCUCCUUGUCUGGACAUCCCUCCCCUUCAUGUCCAGCCGUUGUGUCCAGCUCCAGCAUGGCCUCCGGUGGGAGAUUUCCUGGACCAUCACCUGUACCCUGGCCACCCGCCCCACCAACUCCCGCAACACUCUGCGCACCAGGUUCCUGCCUCCACGGAUGGCUUGCUUUGCACUCGUGUUUUGUGUGUAUCUUCCCCACGGUGCUCCAGGCCGCCUGAUAGCGAGUGUAUUUGUGUUAGUAUCUUUCAAAAGUAGGUUAAAGUCAAGACCUUGGUAAAGUAUGUUAAAGGAACGAACGAGUGUAUGAGGAAACUUGUCUAAUACGUAAUUGGAAUGGUAAGUGGAAUCUCCAAAAGCGAGGUAGAUUGAAUUCUCCUUGGAAAGCAAGAGGGGUAUAUAGAAACUUUUAUUUUUAUUUUUAUUGUUACUUUUUAGACUAUUGGAUUUACUUCCUGCUCUAGGGCUCUAAUUUGUAUUCUUAUGAGCUGAUGGAAUGGAGGCAAGUUUAUGAAAAUUCUAUGUGAGCUGAAGAAACCUCACAGAUCUUCCAGUCUAGUUAUGUAGACAUAUAAACAACUGAAACAGUAUGAUAAGGCCUAUUAUAGUCUUGGCACUGGUGGGGAGCCCAGAAGAUGAGUAUAUAGCUAUUUGUUAUCGAGUGUGGGUGGUAUAGUGGUCAGGAAACAACUAUGUUGUCCUUCUAAACCAUGUUUAGAAAUAAAUGCAAAUGCUGAAGAGGAAUUUUCAUUUUAGUACAAUGUUGGAAUGCAAUGUUGAAAUUAAGAUCAAUGUUGCCAUUACUACAGAAUCCUGAAGUAAAGCAGAAGCCAUAGCUAAAAUAUAAAUCUGCUGCAGCAUAAUGGAAUGUCUUUGCUCAAUACCCUUGUUUAUCUUCCUGCAUUAAACAGAUAAAUGAAUUUCUAACUGCCUUUGAGAUUUCAUAAUUCUC